UUUUGAGCCUUAAGUGAAGACUUAAGCUUUGGCUUUGAAGACGGGGAGUUCUUUUGGGAAGGUUUGACAGGUGUCGGGAUAAUUUUCUUUCCAUUAAACUUGAAUACAUAGGUGUUGUCCUUACCAUGGUUAAGCACAUCAUGAUCAUAUAAAGCCAAGGGCGACCUAAAACAAUAUAAGCAACAUCCAUAGGUAAAAUAUUACAAUAAAUUUCAUCUUUAUAAUGACCCAUUUGGAUGGGAACAAGACAUUUUUCAGUGACAGGUAAAGUUGUGUUAUUUACCCAAGCAACCCUAAAAGGUUUAGGAUGUGGUUCUACCUUAAGGUUAAGUCUAUUAAUGGCUUUCUUAGCUACCACAUUCACGGUGCUUCCCCUAUCAAUUACUAACUUGCAUGACCUAUCCCCACUUUUAACAAAAGUAUGAAAGAUGUUAGUGCGUUUCCAAUCGUCAUCAACAAAAGUUGACAAAACACUGCGAACAACAUUAAUAUGCUCAUCAGCUAUAUCUAGACAGCGAACAACAUUAACAUGCUCAUCAUCUAUAUCUAGCUUAUCUUCAUCACCAGAAUAAUCGAUAAGUCCUACAAGUUCUUCCUCAUAAUUAGAUGAGUUAUGCUCACUUUCAUGUUCCUCUUCACAUGCUUGUUCUAAAGCUAGUGCACAGUGUGGACAUUGAGAUGCAAUAUGACCUUUAUCCUGACAAUGAAAGCAUAUUAUGGAAGAGCUAUUAGCUCGAGACCCACUAGAUGCAACAACAAAAUGAGAACUAGCAAAAGCAGUUGGUUUACCUAUGCUUUUUUCUGUGCUCUCUUUAGGAUUGAAAGAUGAUUUUGACACUGUUUUAGUCUGACUUGGACCUACAGAUUGUGGAGAAGGCGUAGGUUGAUAUGAUCUAACUGAUUGUGAAGCAAACCUAUGGGAGGUGGGGAAUUGGUAAUAACUCUCAAUCUCUAAAGCCUUGUGAUAGGCUUC
rnacentral:misc_RNA from 1 species